rnacentral:rRNA from 1 species
GACGAACGCUGGCGGCGUGCCUAAUACAUGCAAGUUGAGCGCUGAAGGUUGGUACUUGUACCAACUGGAUGAGCAGCGAACGGGUGAGUAACGCGUGGGGAAUCUGCCUUUGAGCGGGGGACAACAUUUGGAAACGAAUGCUAAUACCGCAUAAAAACUUUAAACACAAGUUUUAAGUUUGAAAGAUGCAAUUGCAUCACUCAAAGAUGAUCCCGCGUUGUAUUAGCUAGUUGGUGAGGUAAAGGCUCACCAAGGCGAUGAUACAUAGCCGACCUGAGAGGGUGAUCGGCCACAUUGGGACUGAGACACGGCCCAAACUCCUACGGGAGGCAGCAGUAGGGAAUCUUCGGCAAUGGACGAAAGUCUGACCGAGCAACGCCGCGUGAGUGAAGAGGGUUGUCGGAUCGUAAAACUCUGUUGGUAGAGAAGAACGUUGGUGAGAGUGGAAAGCUCAUCAAGUGACGGUAACUACCCAGAAAGGGACGGCUAACUACGUG